GCCCCUGUAGCUCAGAGGACCAGAGCAGUCGCCUUCUAAGCGAUUGGCCGGGGGUUCGAAUCCCUCCAGGGGCG
rnacentral:tRNA from 1 species